rnacentral:tRNA from 1 species
GCCGGAGUGGUGGAAUUGGUAGACACAGGGGAUUCAAAAUCCCCCGCAGGCAACUGCUUGCCGGUUCAAGUCCGGCCUUCGGUACCA